UUAGAGUUUGAUCCUGGCUCGGGAUGACCUUUGGCAGCGUGCUUAACACAUGCAAGUCGAACGAAGCACUUUAUUACUAUUUCUUCGGAAUGACGAUUUAGUGACUGAGUGGCGGACGGGUGAGUAACGCGUGGGUAACCUGCCUUAUACGGGGGGAUAACAGUUAGAAAUGACUGCUAAUACCGCAUAAGCGCACAGGAUUGCAUGAUCUGGUGUGAAAAACUCCGGUGGUAUAAGAUGGACCCGCGUCUGAUUAGCUGGUUGGUGAGGUAACGGCCCACCAAGGCGACGAUCAGUAGCCGACCUGAGAGGGUGACCGGCCACAUUGGGACUGAGACACGGCCCAAACUCCUACGGGAGGCAGCAGUGGGGAAUAUUGCACAAUGGGGGAAACCCUGAUGCAGCGACGCCGCGUGAGCGAAGAAGUAUUUCGGUAUGUAAAGCUCUAUCAGCAGGGAAGAAAAAAAUGACGGUACCUGACUAAGAAGCCCCGGCUAACUACGUGCCAGCAGCCGCGGUAAUACGUAGGGGGCAAGCGUUAUCCGGAUUUACUGGGUGUAAAGGGAGCGCAGGCGGUGCGGCAAGUCUGAUGUGAAAGCCCGGGGCUCAACCCCGGGACUGCAUUGGAAACUGUCGUACUUGAGUAUCGGAGAGGUAAGUGGAAUUCCUAGUGUAGCGGUGAAAUGCGUAGAUAUUAGGAGGAACACCAGUGGCGAAGGCGGCUUACUGGACGAUAACUGACGCUGAGGCUCGAAAGCGUGGGGAGCAAACAAGAUUAGAUACCCUGGUAGUCCACGCCGUAAACGAU
rnacentral:rRNA from 1 species